ACAUGCAAGUCGAACGAAGUAGCAAUACUUAGUGGCAGACGGGUGAGUAACAUGUAGGUAUCUGCCCUUUGGCCUGGAAUAACACGAGGAAACUUGUGCUAAUACCGGAUAAGUCUUUACGGAGAAAGCUUUAUGCACCAUUGGAUGAGCCUGCACUUGAUUAGUUUGUUGGUGGGGUAAUGGCCUACCAAGACUGUGAUCAAUAGCUGAUUUGAGAGGAUGAUCAGCCACAUUGGGACUGAGACACGGCCCAAACUCCUACGGGAGGCAGCAGUGGGGAAUAUUGUACAAUGGACGCAAGUCUGAUACAGCAAUGCCGCGUGAGUGAAGAAGGCCUUAGGGUUGUAAAACUCUUUCGCUAGGGAAGAUAAUGACGGUACCUAGUAAAGAAGUCCCGG
rnacentral:rRNA from 1 species